rnacentral:rRNA from 1 species
UGUCUUUCGGGAUGCAAGUAAAGUGGCGCACAGGGUGAGUAACACGUAAGCAAUCUACCCUUAGGCCUGGGAUAACCCCGAGAAAUCGGGGCUAAUACCGGAUGAUGCAGCGGCACCGCAUGGUGAUGUUGUUAAAGUCUAUAUGGCGUCUAUGGAUGAGCUUGCGUCUGAUUAGCUUGUUGGUGAGGUAAUGGCUUACCAAGGCUACGAUCAGUAGCUGGUCUGAGAGGAUGAUCAGCCACACUGGAACUGAGACACGGUCCAGACUCCUACGGGAGGCAGCAGUGAGGAAUAUUGGGCAAUGGGCGAAAGCCUGACCCAGCAACGCCGCGUGGAGGAUGAAUGUCGUAAGAUUGUAAACUCCUGUUAGAGGGGAAGAAUAAUUCCGAUCAAAUCGGAACUUGACUGUACCCUCAGAGAAAGCUCCGGCUAACUACGUGCCAGCAGCCGCGGUAAUACGUAGGGAGCAAGCGUUGUCCGGAUUUACUGGGUGUAAAGGGCGCGCAGGCGGGUCAGUAAGUCAGAGGUGAAAUCCUACAGCUCAACUGUAGAACUGCCUUUGAUACUGCUGAUCUUGAGUAUGGAAGAGAGAGACGGAAUUCCAGGUGUAGUGGUGAAAUACGUAGAUAUCUGGAAGAACACCAGUUGCGAAGGCGGCCUCUUGGUCCAAUACUGACGCUGAGGCG